rnacentral:lncRNA from 1 species
CUCUCAGCAGGCUGACGUCAGCCCCUCCCCAGCAGCCAGAACAAGGCUCGGGAUUGUUUCGGCCCGGGAGAGCUCCCCGAGGAUUAAAGGCUUGGUGAAAUGCAGAGCACGGCACGGCGAGAGCAGCACCAGGCCUCCAUCCAUCAUCCAUCCAUCCUGCCAUCCAUCCAUCAUCCAUCCAUUAUCCAUCCAUCCAUCAUCUAUCCAUCCAUCAUCCAUCCAUCAUCCAUCCAUCCAUCAUCCAUCCAUCCAUCAUCCAUCCAUCAUCCUUCCAUCCAUCAUCCAUCCAUCAUCCAUCCAUCCAUCAUCCAUCCAUCAUCCAUCCAUCAUCCAUCCAUCCAUCCAUCAUCCAUCCACCCAUCCAUCCAUCCAUCCAUCCAUCCCUGCUUUGCCCACGGAAGGUGAUGGGGAGGACUCCAAAACCCAGCACAGCCUGGGCUCAAUCCAUGCUCCAAACCCAGCACAGCUCGGGCUCAAUCCAGGCUCCAAACUGGCACAGCCUGGGCAUGAUUUGGGCUCCAAACCCGGCACAGCCCGAGAUCCAUCCAUGCUCCAAACCUGGCACAGCCCAGGCUCAAUCCAUGCUCCAAACCCGGCACAGCCCAGGCUCGAUCGGUGCUCCAAACCCGGCACAGCCCGAGAUCCAUCCAUGCUCCAAACCCAGCACAGCCCAGGCUCGAUCCGUGCUCCAAACCUAGCACAGCCCAGGCUCAGUCCAGGCUCCAAAUCCGGCACAGCCCAGGCUCGAUCCAUGCUCCAAAUCCGGCACAGCCUGGGCAUGAUUUGGGCUCCAAACCCGGCACAACCCAGGCUUGGUCCGAGCUCCAAACCUGGCACAGCCCAGGCUCAAUCCGUGCUCCAAACCCGGCACAGCCUGAGAUCCAUCCAGGCUCCAAACCCGGCACAGCCCAGGCUCGAUCCAUGCCAGAGCCGCGCUGGGGACAGAGCUGCACCAUCUGCUUCCAGUAACAUUUAUCCAUUGGUGAGCUCUUGAAUUCCAUUUCCUUUGGUUCCCCCUCAACUGGGGUGUCCCAGAGCCCCCAUUCACGGCACAGCCAGGGUGAAACCUCCACUGUCC